rnacentral:rRNA from 1 species
GACAGAGGGGGCAAGCGUUGUUCGGAAUUACUGGGCGUAAAGGGCGCGUAGGCGGCCCGCUAAGUCAAACGUGAAAUCCCCGAGCUCAACUCGGGAACUGCGUCCGAUACUGGCGGGCUUGAAUCCGGGAGAGGGAUGCGGAAUUCCAGGUGUAGCGGUGAAAUGCGUAGAUAUCUGGAGGAACACCGGUGGCGAAGGCGGUAUCCUGGACCGGCAUUGACGCUGAGGCGCGAAAGCGUGGGGAGCGAACAGG